UGCCGGCGCUUCUGGAGAUGGGUAUUUUGGGCUCUGCUGGAAGGCAGCUCCUCGAGGACCUGGAAGAGGAAGCAGGAAGGGGGCCCUGCCUCCAGAGCCCCAGUAGUGCUGGGGAGAGCACAGCCACUCCAUAGGCAGCGCCAGUAUGGGAAGGUGCAAGCUGCGGUCUGGAGCCCCUGUGGCAGGCGGCUGGCCCCUCCUCCAGCGGCGAACCAGGAGGUGAGCACGCUUCCGUGUGCGGGAAGAUGCAGCUCCAGAGACACAGCUUCCUUUAAAUAUGCGGCUCCCUCAGCACCUGGGAGUGCGUCCUUCCUGUCUGUCCGCCUGCCCCGGGAAAGAGCAGCUGUCCGUGUCACGUGCACAGACUUGACAGUGCGCCGGACUCGCCAGGGGUUCUGGGUCUCUGUGUCCUCUCCAGGCAUGGAGCCCUCCAUGGCCCACGAGCAGAGUGAACACACAAUUAAAAAAAAAAAACAAAAAACGACUUCUGACAUGCACCUGGCUGGUCUGCAAGCGCGUUUCAGCAGCAAGGGUGAUUCGCUCCCCAGCCUGAGAGCCAGCUCAGCAGUGCUCUGUCGGGCGGCACCCCCUUCCGGGCACAUCCUGCAGCGUGUCUCAGAACAGCUCAAGGGGGGUGGGCUGGGCGUCAGAGAGAGCAUGGGCCGGGUCGCACACACCUGUACCUGCUUCCGGGUCUCCAGGACGUGUGAGCCGUUUCCAGGUCUCAGGGACCAUGCCCACAUCCUCCCGCCUCUGCCUGAGUGGGUGGCAUUGCUGGGCUGCUGCAGAGGUUCCUAAAGGGUCAGUCCUCAGGAAAGGUGGAGACUUGGGCUCCUGCCCUGCCCAACACCCGGCACAGCCCAACCACAGGGAACAGGGCGCCCUCUGGCUCCCCUCCGCGAGGUUCCUGGCACCAGGGCGGGGCAGGGAGGCCCUCAGUGGCUGACCCCAGGAGUCAAGGCUGCGUGUGACCCAAACGCACCCCUUAGGUGGGCUCCCGGUGGCCAGAGCCGCGGGACUCAGGAGGGGCCCCUGAGGGGCGCCAGCCCUCGGGAGCAGGGAGAAGCGUCCCGUGCCCCCGACGCCCUGCAUCCCAGCACAGCCUCCCUGUGUCGAGGGCAGAAUUUCCUUUACGGAUUUUGUAACAGCUACGCCUGCCCAGCACAGGCAGAGGUGAACGGCGUGAGCUGUGCCACCUCCUGGGGCCUGAGCCCCGCAGCGCCAGGCGCUGACCUCGCAGAGCCAGAGGGAGGAUGCAGGCAGCAGCUCUGCAGAGCUCAAGUUAGAGCCUCUGGGGGCUCGUUUCCCUGGAAACCAGCGACUGCGAUCCCCACCCCCACCCCAGGGACCAGAGAUGCCAGGAGCCUGUGAUUCAGUCAUUAUGGGGCCAAGGGCCCCCUAGAGGCAGGUUACGGAACUGCUCCUGUGCAGGUCCCCUGGACCGGCUGUCAAGCCCCAGGGCGGACGAGGGGUCGGGGUGGGCGAUCCUCGCCAGCAAGUGAGCAGCUGGUGGGGUCGGACCAGGCUGCCCUCCCGAGCGUGGAUUCCUGUGUCUCCUCCAGCUGGGGGCUCAGCUUCACCUCGAGGCCUACUUGGACCCCGGGGCAGUCAGGGCCUGCUCCUCCAAGAGGCUGCGGAGACUGACGGGGUGCUGACUGUAAGGUUCCCUCUGGUGACAAAGACACUGGCACAACACCCUGCGAAUGCGUGGCAGCUGCUGACCACCACCUCCAGAGGGUGGCCGAGUGUCUAGGAAAGCUUUUUUUUGUUUUUGGUGCUGGGAAUUGAACUCACGACCUCGUGCUUGCCCAGGCAGGCACUUGUACUGCUGAGCUAUAUCCCUGGCCCAGAAAGCUGUUUCUUAGAGAAGCGGCCACAGGGUCUCACACUCGGCGUGGGGCUCUGAUGUCGGCUGGGCCUGAGGACACAUGCACUCCAGGGGAGGGACGGACGCAGCUGGGGACCAAGGGGCAGCUGGUCACUCCGACUCACAGCACACAGCCGUGCUCACAUACACACUGCUCUGCAUGGCUCUGAGGGGGGCAGCCCCCCAGCCCCUUGGCCUGCAACACAGAGCCAAGGAGGGAAGUGCAUACUGGGGGCCUAGGCACCAUGCACCCCACUCUGCAGGAGCCUCAGGUGGGGCCGAGGGGGUGUGAGGGUGCUCCACAGCACAGGCUGGGGAGGUGUCCUGGGAGACUGAGGUCCUGGAGCCCACUGGGCACUUGGGGACCCCGUGGAAGCAGGUGAGGCAGUGCCCACAAGAUGUGGGCAGCAGACCCUGGGCAGGAGGGUAUGGCAGAGAAACCAGCCAGCAGGUUGGGCACAGGGAGGGAGACGGAGCACGGGCUGAGGGGUCGUGGGGGCUGCACCAGCCCUUGCACGGGAACAGCUGGGAGAAGCAAAGCUCCCGGCCCCUGCUGAAAGCACUGCAGCUGGGCUGGACUGGCUGUCCACACUGCGAGUACGGGCGACUGCCUUUCUUAAGGGGUGGCACUGGUGAGGUUACACCCACUGUCCCAGCACUGAGCUUCACACCCAGCCAUGGUGAGGUAGGGUCUAAGCCACCAGCUUGGUCCGGGCGGGUUCUCACCUGCAGCCCUCACCUCAGCCUCCCAGAAUGCUGGGAUUAAAGCGGGCACCGCGACCGCGUUUCCUUUCCUCACAGCACCAGGGACCCGAAUCAUCCUAGGCACAGGGCCUGCGGAGGACAGGGAGGGGCAGGGAUGCUUGCAAACCAGAGGAGGGCAGCAGGAGCCUCAGGUGAGGUGCAGCACCCCGAGAAGCAGCGCACCUGCGACACCCGAGGCUGUG
ensembl:lincRNA